rnacentral:rRNA from 1 species
AGAUUAAGUUAUUAAGGGCGCACGGUGGAUGCCUUGGCACUAGAAGCCGAUGAAGGACGUUACUAACGACGAUAUGCUUUGGGGAGCUGUAAGUAAGCUUUGAUCCAGAGAUUUCCGAAUGGGGAAACCCAGCAUGAGUUAUGUCAUGUUAUCGAUAUGUGAAUACAUAGCAUAUCAGAAGGCACACCCGGAGAACUGAAACAUCUUAGUACCCGGAGGAAGAGAAAGAAAAUUCGAUUCCCUUAGUAGCGGCGAGCGAAACGGGAAGAGCCCAAACCAAAAAGCUUGCUUGUUGGGGUUGUAGGACACUCUAUACGGAGUUACAAAGGACGACAUUAGACGAAUCAUCUGGAAAGAUGAAUCAAAGAAGGUAAUAAUCCUGUAGUCGAAAAUGUUGUCUCUCUUGAGUGGAUCCUGAGUACGACGGAGCACGUGAAAUUCCGUCGGAAUCUGGGAGGACCAUCUCCUAAGGCUAAAUACUCUCUAGUGACCGAUAGUGAACCAGUACCGUGAGGGAAAGGUGAAAAGCACCCCGGAAGGGGAGUGAAAUAGAACCUGAAACCGUGUGCUUACAAGUAGUCAGAGCCCGUUAAUGGGUGAUGGCGUGCCUUUUGUAGAAUGAACCGGCGAGUUACGAUUUGAUGCAAGGUUAAGCAGUAAAUGUGGAGCCGUAGCGAAAGCGAGUCUGAAUAGGGCGUUUAGUAUUUGGUCGUAGACCCGAAACCAGGUGAUCUACCCUUGGUCAGGUUGAAGUUCAGGUAACACUGAAUGGAGGACCGAACCGACUUACGUUGAAAAGUGAGCGGAUGAACUGAGGGUAGCGGAGAAAUUCCAAUCGAACCUGGAGAUAGCUGGUUCUCUCCGAAAUAGCUUUAGGGCUAGCCUCAAGUGAUGAUUAUUGGAGGUAGAGCACUGUUUGGACGAGGGGCCCCUCUCGGGUUACCGAAUUCAGACAAACUCCGAAUGCCAAUUAAUUUAACUUGGGAGUCAGAACAUGGGUGAUAAGGUCCGUGUUCGAAAGGGAAACAGCCCAGACCACCAGCUAAGGUCCCAAAAUAUAUGUUAAGUGGAAAAGGAUGUGGCGUUGCCCAGACAACUAGGAUGUUGGCUUAGAAGCAGCCAUCAUUUAAAGAGUGCGUAAUAGCUCACUAGUCGAGUGACACUGCGCCGAAAAUGUACCGGGGCUAAACAUAUUACCGAAGCUGUGGAUUGUCCUUUGGACAAUGGUAGGAGAGCGUUCUAAGGGCGUUGAAGCAUGAUCGUAAGGACAUGUGGAGCGCUUAGAAGUGAGAAUGCCGGUGUGAGU